rnacentral:rRNA from 1 species
CGGAGGGUGCAAGCGUUAUCCGGAUUCACUGGGUUUAAAGGGUGCGUAGGUGGGCAGGUAAGUCAGUGGUGAAAUCUCUGGGCUUAACCCAGAAACUGCCGUUGAUACUAUCCGUCUUGAAUAUAGUGGAGGUGAGCGGAAUAUGUCAUGUAGCGGUGAAAUGCUUAGAUAUGACAUAGAACACCCAUUGCGAAGGCAGCUCGCUACACUAUUAUUGACACUGAGGCACGAAAGCGUGGGGAUCAAACAGGAUUAGAUACCCUGGUAGUCCACGCCCUAAACGAUGGAUACUCGACAUCAGCGAUACACUGUUGGUGUCUGAGCGAAAGCAUUAAGUAUCCCACCUGGGAAGUACGACCGCAAGGUUG